AGCGACCCGUACCGCAAACCGACACAGGUGGGUGGGUAGAAUAUACCAAGGCGUAAGAGUGAAACCUGGUUAAGGAACUCGGCAAAUUAGCCCCGUAACUUCGGAAGAAGGGGUGCCUGCAGCGAUGCAGGCCGCAGAGAAAUGGCCCAACCGACUGUUUAUCAAAAACACAGCACUCUGCAAAGACGCAAGUCGAAGUAUAGGGUGUGACACGUGACCAAUGCCGAAAGAUUAAGGCAAGGGGUUAGCCGCAAGGCGAAGCUCUGAACCCAAGUCCCGGUGAAUGUCGGCCGUAACUAUAACGGUCCUAAGGUAGCGAAAUUCCUUGUCGGGUAAGUUCCGACCUGCACGAAUCGUGAAACGAGUUGGGCACUGUCUCAACCAGGCGCUCAGUGAAAUUGUAGUGGCGGUGAAGAUGCCGCCUACCCGCAGAAGGACGGAAAGACCCUAUAGACCUUAACUGUAAGCUGUCAUUGUUUCUUCGGUUUUAAUGCUCAGAGUAAGUGGGAGACGCUGAAGACGCCCUUUAGGGGGCGUCGGAGUCAUCAAUGAGACACCACCCUUUGAAACUGGAGGAUCUAACCCUGAGCCGUGAAUCCGGCCAGAGGACCGUGUCAGCCGGUCAGUUUGACUGGGGUGGUCGCCUCCCAAAGCGUAACGGAGGAGCGCGAAGGUGGGCUCAGCCCGGUUGGCAACCGGGUGUCGAGUGCAUGGGCAUAAGCCCGCCUAACUGUGAGACCAACAAGUCGAGCAGAUGCGAAAGCAGGCCCAAGUGAUCCGGCGGUAGAAAGUGGAAUUGCCGUCGCUCAACGGAUAAAAGGUACCUUAGGGAUAACAGGCUGAUCACGCCCAAGAGUUCAUAUCGACGGAGUGGUUUGGCACCUCGAUGUCGGCUCGUCGCAUCCUGGGGCUGGAGAAGGUCCCAAGGGUUCGGCUGUUCGCCGGUUAAAGCGGCACGCGAGCUGGGUUCAGAACGUCGCGAGACAGUUCGGUCCUCUAUCCUCUGUGGGCGUUGGAAAAUUGAGGGGUUCAGACCUUAGUACGAGAGGACCGGGUCUGACGCAC
rnacentral:rRNA from 1 species